UAAAUGGGCAAUAAACCAAUUGCAGUGGUGGAUGAAGUUUUCCUCUCCCUAAGUUCAGUAAAAGUACUAAUAACACCCUGUGAAAAUACUCCACUGUAAGUGAAAGUCCUGCAUUUAAAACCUUACUUAAGUCAAAGUAUGUGAGUAUUAUCAGCAAAAUGUACUCAAAAGUAUCUAAAGUAAAAACACUUACUGUGCAGUUAAAAUUGUCCCAGUCAGUAUUUUACUAUUUACAGGAUGCUUUCUGUAUUCAUAUUACUGCUGCAUUAAUAUGUUGCAUUUUACAUCUGUACAUCAUAAUGGCUGAACAUGGGGAACACUCCUGAAGGCUAGAGUGAUAGAGCAAGCCAAAAACCCCAGCAAGACACCCCAGCUUGACUACCUCAUCCAGUGUGCAAAGGAGAACACUGAUGAUGAUGAAGAGGUCCCAGCAGGUGCUCUCCCCCGUUCUUCUUCGGUUGGGACAGCGACAUGGCCUCACUGCUACUGCUGGUCUACCUUCUGCCACCGCCACCAAGUCGAAAUAAGGGAGCUGUGAAAAUCAGGGUCCGAGAAGCUGUGGACCGUGUAGUCAAGUUCCAUAAGACAUGUCGCAGCCUUCAGGAGUAUGCCGGUCCAGAUCAGCGGAGGCAACCCUACAUCCUAGCAGUUGGGACCACAAGAAACAGCAUCUAUGAGUACUACAUUGCGUUGGAUGGUGAGCUCCUUCCCUGCGAGGCUAAGUCUUCCCUGUCAGCUUUUGAUGAACUUUUAAAAACACAUUAUUGGUUUGGGAUCUCCUAUGACCAGGCCUUAAACGGCAUGUACACAUUUGUGCAGACCACCAUCUACAACAUCGAUGUAGGACUUUAGUUGGUCUGUCAUCUCAAGCUUUCACAUGCAUUUUAUCCUGGUAAGAAGUUUCAAUUGUUGUGUUACCAGAAUGGAUGCCACCAGAGAUUUUGCACUUUUUCAGGCUUCAGGAAACAUCUCCAUAGCAAACAUAGUGCUGAUCGUGAUAAGGCCUAAUGAGCAAAUGUUCAAAUGCUCACCUACAGUAUGACCAAUGUAUUUUGUGGGUUGGUUGAGGUUGCUACUAAUUAGAUGUUAUCUAAGUAGAUUUAUUUUUUGAAAAUAAACGCAUGUUUUCAAUAAUCUAA